rfam:Aedes aegypti strain Liverpool supercont1.98 genomic scaffold, whole genome shotgun sequence.
CAAACGGCUUUUUCCAGAGCCACCAAUUAAUAUCAAGAGAGUUAAUU